rnacentral:rRNA from 1 species
AGAGCGAACGCUGGCGGCAGGCUUAACACAUGCAAGUCGAGCGGGCGUAGCAAUACGUCAGCGGCAGACGGGUGAGUAACGCGUGGGAACAUACCUUUUGGUUCGGAACAACACAGGGAAACUUGUGCUAAUACCGGAUAAGCCCUUACGGGGAAAGAUUUAUCGCCGAAAGAUUGGCCCGCGUCUGAUUAGCUAGUUGGUGAGGUAACGGCUCACCAAGGCGACGAUCAGUAGCUGGUCUGAGAGGAUGAUCAGCCACAUUGGGACUGAGACACGGCCCAAACUCCUACGGGAGGCAGCAGUGGGGAAUAUUGGACAAUGGGCGCAAGCCUGAUCCAGCCAUGCCGCGUGAGUGAUGAAGGCCCUAGGGUUGUAAAGCUCUUUUGUGCGGGAAGAUAAUGACGGUACCGCAAGAAUAACGCCCCGGCUAACUUCGUGCCAGCAGCCGC